GCGGGAGUGGUGGAAUUGGUAGACACACCAGAUUUAGGUUCUGGCGCCUUUGGUGUAAGAGUUCGAGUCUCUUCUUCCGCACCA
rnacentral:tRNA from 1 species